rnacentral:rRNA from 1 species
UACAGAGGUCUCAAGCGUUGUUCGGAUUCACUGGGUUUAAAGGGCGCGUAGGCGGCUUGGCAAGUGGAUGGUGAAAUCCCUCGGCUUAACCGAGGAACUGCCGUCCAAACUGCUUCGCUUGAGACCGGGAGAGGUGAGUGGAAUUCCCAGUGUAGCGGUGAAAUGCGUAGAUAUUGGGAGGAACACCAGUGGCGAAGGCGGCUCACUGGACCGGUACUGACGCUGAUGCGCGAAAGCGUGGGGAGCAAACGGG